CGGGAAAGUGGAGUGGAAGCUAUAAUUUGACGAUACCACGGAGGUAUUAGACGUGACUCUGAAUGCCUCUGUGAAGAGAGGAGAAGCUCUACUGGUUAGCGAAGCCGACGACGAGCCAACUGGAACUGCUCUCCUGGUUAAAGAGACCUGCACUGGCUGCCGAGGAAUCGGAGCUAGCCUGUGGGAGGCGAAGGAACCAAAGCGAGGAACAGAGACCGAGAGAGACGACAUGGACAAGGAUUCCUCUAAAUGGGAUUGGAGACGAGAGGAAGUGUCUGAGGGUGAGAGAGAAGAAGAUUCAGAGGGGCAAGAUGGAGAUCAGGGGGAGAGAGAAUGAGGAUACCCUGCGUGGCUCCUGG
rnacentral:lncRNA from 1 species